rnacentral:rRNA from 1 species
UACAGAGGGGGCAAGCGUUAUUCGGAAUUAUUGGGCGUAAAGGGCGCGUAGGCGGUCUGACAAGUGGAAGGUGAAAUCCCUCGGCUUAACCGAGGAACUGCCCUCCAAACUGCUUGGCUUGAGACCGGGAGAGGUGAGUGGAAUUCCCAGUGUAGCGGUGAAAUGCGUAGAUAUUGGGAGGAACACCAGUGGCGAAGGCGGCUCUCUGGGACGGUACUGACGCUGAGACGCGAAAGCGUGGGGAGCGAACAGG